CAAUAACAUGUUAUGAAUUAAAGAUUACUAGACUCUAGAUCUGUAUAAAUCUAAUGUACAUCUUUGUCCAAACCUAAUUAAAUUAACUAAUUUGGCAACUUCAAAACUACUUUGUCAACUAUCCAGAGAUUCAGGGGAAUGAAAUCUUAGACUAUUUAUAAUUAAGAUGUUCCUUCAGAGUUGAAAACAACUACAUUCUAGCUUGAACGUCCCACAAGAAGAUGUGGGGUGGCAGCAGGCAGGGGUCUAACCAAGGAUCAUGGAGACCACUAAACGAUAGUCCAGAGUGUAUAUGAUUGAUUGAGUAGACAAAGAAGGGAUGGAUUACUGGAGCUAAAAGAAGGCAUAAUUUAACAAUAGACUACUUUGGGGUAAGUUUCCGUAGCUGCCCCUACACUUUCUAUGGUCUUAUGUAUUGGUUUUCUCUAGACUGUUUUUGUUUUUUUGUUGGUCUCUAUUACAUACACAGUUUAGUUCAUAAUAUAAAGAUAUUUAUAUUUAACUCUAUAUGAAAAAGUUUAUGUUAAUAUGUAUUACAAGUGCUAUGCCCCUUUGCUUGGGUUUGAAAUGCCCUCUGUGUCAAAUGAGUUAGCCUUAGUCAAGAUAGCAACAUAAAAAAAAAAAACAUUCUUGAAAAUGAACUCUACAAAACGAAUAUAUUUGUUCUAGUUUCUACUAGCCUUAAUUAACAGUUGACUGUCUAGAUUUUACUUUUCUGUUGAAUGAAAUUUAGAUGUUUAUUUAUUUAUUAUUUUUCUUUGGUUUAUCAUAACAUAAAGCUUGCUCAGUGCUCAGUUUAAGCUCUUUGGGGAACAUGUGGGGAGAAGCAGUAUUUGGGAGAAGAUUUCCAUGCUGUUUCCAACCCUUACUUAACCCUUUCUGCAACAUAGCUCAAGCCAAAUCUAAAUUGAAAAUUUAUGAAAAUGUGUGGUGCUUACUGGAAUUCUAAAUCCAGCCCCCUUGAAAGGUAGCCAACUGGUGUAUGCCCCUCAGCCCCACAGGGACUUUGUAUAAAUCUAACAACUAAUUUUAAUUUAUCUU